CACUGCUGCUGCAGGCAUUUCCUGCUCUGGCAGGGGCAGUGGCUGAUUUUCUCAGUGCUGGCUUUCAGCAUUAACACCCAGCUGUGCACUGCAAAGCUUCCCACACCUGCAGCAGGGAAGCCAAGGAACACAUUUGUUCAGCAAGUGUCUCUUAAUCGCAUUUUUAACUUUCUUCUUCAGUCAUCACAACUGCAUGGCUGGGACUGAAGACUGGGAUUCUGCCUUCAUACCCUAACAGAUGCCAGGGCCCUGGACCUGGACCAACAAACGUGACUGAAACCUUUACUGCAUUCUUGUCUGGAUGGGCAAACCAACAGUACAGGAUACAAUGAAAGAUCAAAAGGAGUUGAAGAUUGAAAGAAAGACUAUAAUAAGAAGUUUUUAAGAGGAAACACCAUUUGCUUUAUUUCUUCUUAUCCUCCAUGACUUCAACGUCAUUCUCCCUUACACUGCCAGACUUAGAAUUAAGCCUGCUUGUAUCACUAAAGACGUUUGAGUUAUGACAUCUACUAACCUUUAGAAAACCCACUGCCUGAAGUCUGAAAAUUAUUCUCUUGUAAUGUACAACAUACAAAAUAUGUAAAUGAAAUAAAAGAAAUAUACGUA